CGAAAACCGGCAGCCCUGGGUUCCUGUCCCUGUCCCUGUGGGACCGGCUGUCCACAGGCAGGUUAGGAUCCCUUUACCAACACUACUUUUCUUCAUACCCCACGAUGGCUGAGCUGGCCCUCCUGACCCCCCAGGACCCCUUAGGGCCAUGCCUGACUCAGAGGGUGGAGGGAUCCUGCUGCCACCACGGUCCCCAACUGAUGCCACAGCUAACAGCUACCAGCCGAAAGGGAGAAGGAAGGAGCAUCAGGGACUCCGUGGAGCAACACGACCAGGCCCUCCUGAACUCCCCACAAACCCCAGGGUACCUGACCGGCCACACAGCCAACCUAACCCUGGCCGGGCCCGGCCUGGCCCCCAAGCUGUGUCCAGCACCAGUCUGCACCUGCCCUCACCUUCACCCCAGCUCUCUUGACUGUACUGGCCCCCGCCCCCAAUCUGCACCACUCCCCAGGUUCGACCCUAAAUAAACUUCACUCCCAGUCUGGGUGCC
rnacentral:lncRNA from 1 species